CCACACGCCGCGUCUCCCUUGGCUUCGGCGUCCUCGAGGGCGUGACCACACGUGACGUUCUGUGUCACACACACCACCAGCGAAGACGCCGCACGCCGUGGGUCCGAACACACACUGUUGAAAUAAAUAGUGGCUAGGUAUGGUUCUAAGGUGGAAGGAG